rnacentral:rRNA from 1 species
GUGGGGAAUAUUGGACAAUGGGCGCAAGCCUGAUCCAGCCAUGCCGCGUGAGUGAUGAAGGCCUUAGGGUUGUAAAGCUCUUUCAGUAGGGAAGAUAAUGACGGUACCUACAGAAGAAGCCCCGGCUAACUUCGUGCCAGCAGCCGCGGUAAUACGAAGGGGGCUAGCGUUGUUCGGAUUUACUGGGCGUAAAGCGCACGUAGGCGGAUCGUUAAGUCGGGGGUGAAAUCCUGGAGCUCAACUCCAGAACUGCCUUCGAUACUGGCGAUCUUGAGUCCGGAAGAGGUGAGUGGAACUCCUAGUGUAGAGGUGGAAUUCGUAGAUAUUAGGAAGAACACCAGUGGCGAAGGCGGCUCACUGGUCCGGUACUGACGCUGAGGUGCGAAAGCGUGGGGAGCAAACAGGAUUAGAUACCCCGGUAGUCC